AAAAAAAAAGACUAAGGUUGAUCUUGAUGACAGAAACAUUGAUUUUCCUCAUCUGAAAAAUGAGGAACUUGAAACAGUUGAUGGAUAAAUCUUUGCUCAGCUCAGUUAUACUGAAUUAUUCCUAAGCUUCGUUUUAGCUUUAAACAGAGAGGUUAGUGCAGACGUGGUUCACAUCAAAGGAAAGAGCUGUGGAUCUUUCUGUCUUGAAGGUUUCAAUAUGGAGCCCUGCUGUCCAGGUCCCCACAUCCACCAACACAGAAGACAGGAAAUAUAAUUACCGAGUACCUAUUUACUGAACACCUCUGUGACGACUCUCAGCUAAUUACUGUAAAUACAGGAACUCUCCUAGCAGAUACAGUCACUGCCCUCAUAGAGCUUUUAAACUAGUAAAGGAGAUAAACAUUAGUCAUUGUAAGUUUGAUAAUUAUUACAAAGGAAAUGUACAGUAUAUUUUAAAGACAUAUUACUAGAUCCAUGAAAAAAUUGACAGAUUCAGGACCUAGCAACAAAUCAGCCCAAUUUUUCCAGCAGGCAGUAGAAAUAAUGUGCUUGUGCUCUGAAGCCCUAACAGUGAUUAGCAUCUGCCGCCUGAGCAAGGGGCCUGAUGCCCACAUGAAGUCCUAUGUGUCAGCGUGUCUCCAGCUACAAUAAAGAAACCCUCCCACUCAGCUGGCUCAAAUAAUAAGGAAAAUGUAUCUGUCACUUAACAAAAAUCCUGAAGUCUAGUUUCCCCAGCACUGUGACAGUAUCAGGUUCCCCAGUUCAUUCUUUUUGCUUUCAAUUCUCAGGGUGCCAGCAAUGUCCAAACGGUGGCCCCUGUUAAUCAUCAUUAGAUAAGAGCCAUGACUCCAAGUGUCACCCACCUUCAGACACAACAAAAUGCAGACAGACUUUUUUGUGUGUAUCUCUUCAACAGUGAAGUUACUUCUUUAGCAAAAUUUCUUCCAUAUUUUAUUGACCAGAGUUGGGUCUUACAUCUCCCAGAAAAAUUUUCUAGGAAGAAAAAUGAUUAUUACCAUGAGUGGCUUAAUCAGGAAUUACCCCCGAGCCUCAGGAAGACAUCCCUUGGUAAAGUGGACUCACCCAGACAGAACUUUACUCUGGCAGUAAAAAGAAAAGAGCCAGUGCUGUUUCGUCAGUAGCCUGCAGCAUCUGUCACCACCUUGUGCUGCUCAUGACAUUGAGGGCAAAGAGAGAUGGUUCCCUACUUUCUUCCCACCCAACUCCACAGAACAGCAGAGCAUCUAGGAGAGGAGGCCGUAGUUAUGACAGACAGCACAAAUGUGCCCCAGGUAACCUACAGAAUGUGCUGUGUUGUCUGUCUCUUUAUGCCUACAAAUAAAUCAAUGUGAUGGGUUAUCUACACUAAAGAGUACAGUACUAUUCUGGGAAACAAAUGUCCUCUUCGUUUCCAUGAAAAAAUCCAAACAAAUACUAGACAUGUAGCAAUUUGUAUGUGAUCCUUCUCACCUCCAGAAUGCUAAAGUAAUGCUCCUAGACUAAACCCUUCUAUUCUUGCUAGUGUAAUAUAAUCAAACCAAAGUACAUUUACAGAAUACCGGGUAUCUACUGCAACCUUUAUUAUAUCUUUGCAGCACUGUCCUUGAACCUUAAGUGGAGGGAAAGAGAUGUAUGAAACCCAGACUGUGAUGUAAGUCUUAAUGCAAUAAAUGGAAAAGGAACAAGGAGCAAGAAUGUUCCAUGGGAGAACAAAGGACAAGAAAAAUGAAAAAAUAAAUGGCAGGGGAGGAGAGGAGAGAUACUGAGAUUAAGACAAAGACUUUUAAGCCUAGAUUUGGGAAAUGGACAAGAUUAUAGCAGGAAAAAAUGAAGAAAGCCAUUUCAGCUAUUAGAAAUCAUAGACUAUUCUUAGAUAACGGACAGGACAAUGGAUUAAUUGGAGAAUGAUGACUAUAGAAAGAAGUAUUAAGAGAUAAAGCUGAAAACAUAGAUGGAGAUCACAUAAUAGAAGAUUUUAAUGCCAUAUUAAUUAGUCUUUUUUCUAUGAUUUUAUAGUGAGUUGCUGCAGGUUUUUGACUAGGGAGCUACUUGAUAAAAAUGUAGGCUUUAGUAAAAGUUCUCAUGUACCAGUGUGUAAGGGAGCUUUCAUGAGGAAAGAGAUUGGAAGUACAGAUAUUAAUUAUGAGAAACUGCAGUACACCUAAAAGAUAAUUAGGGCAUGAACUAAAACAAUGGCAACAGAAUAGAAAAAGUUUAUGAAGCCCUUGUAGUAAAGGAACUCAGGAUCUGUUUGAACAUGGACUAAAGAAGGGAAAAUGUAAGGUUUCGCUUUGAACAAUAGAAAGAAUGCUGGUGGUAUUAUUCCUGAGGAUAGCAAAGCCAGGAGAGGUAACCAGUUGGGGGAAUAGAAAAUAUAAAUUUGAGCAGGAUGGUUGAAUAGAACUCUCCAACGGUUGUCCUCCCUUCAGGAACACCAAAUUAAACAACUAUCCACGUAAGAAAGUACCUUCAUAAGAACCAGAAAUCAGGUUAGCAAUCACAGCACCUCAUUUUCAUAUUAUUUCAAGCAAAGAGGCACGGAAGAGGGUAAGAAGGACAGUCUUGAAUUCCCUAUAGCAACCCUCUCCCAUGCCUUGGCAGCACCACGUGGGACAUGGAAAGAGAGAAUCUGUUUGCUUGGGGGAAGGAAAGCACAGUGAUUGUGGGACUUUGCAUUGGAACUCAUUGCUGCCCUGUCACAGCAGAAGGCGACACGGGCAGAAUUCAGCGAGCGCCCACAAAGAGAGCCUUUAGCCCAGCCCUAGCCAGAGGGGUAUUGUCUGUCCCAGCAUUCGGAACCUAAGUUCCAGCUAGGCCCAGCACUGCACGCUAAAGUACCCUGGGGUUCCAGAUAAAUUUGAAAGUCUAGACCACAAGGACUACAGUUCCUGAGCAGGUCCUGGUGUCGUACUGGACUUAGAGCCAGUGGACAUUGUACUGGACUUAGAGCCAGUGGACAUGGGGUACACAAGAAAGAAGAGGAAAGAGUGAAGAGGACUUUUUCUUAUAACUUGGAUACCAGCUCAGCCACAGUAAAAUAAAACAGCAAGCAGAGACCUAAAGCCCCUAUUUCAGGCCCCAGCUCUCAGAGGACAUUUCUAGACCCACCCUAUGCCUUAAGGGAACUUGCUUCCCUGAAGGGAAGGACACAGCCCUGGCAGAAUUCUUUACCUAAUGACCGAGGUAAAGUAGCCAAGUAGCAAUUGCCACAGGCCUUUGAUGAGACCCAGAACCGUGUUGGCUUCAGUUGUAACCCAGCACAUUCCCAGCUAUGCAUGCUGCCCAUGAGAAGAGACUCCUGCCUGGGGAAAGGAGAGGGAAGAGCGAAAAGGACUUCAUCUUGCAACUUGGGGAUCAGCUCUGCCACAGUAAAAUAAAGCACCAAGCAGACUCCUAAAGCCUCCAGUUUUAGGCCUUAACUCCUAGAUGGCAUUUCUCAACCUUCCGUGAGCCAGAAGGGAACCCACUGCCCUGAAAGGAGAGACCUAGGUCUGACACAAUUCACCAACUGCUGACUAAGGAGCCCUUGGACUUUGAAUACACAUCAGCAGUAGCCCGGCUGUGGUUGCCAUGGCCUUGGGGUGAUGGUGGCCAUGGAGAGAGAGCCUCCUUCUGCUUGAGAAAAGGAAAGAGAAGAGUGAAAAGGACAUUGCUUGCAAUGUGGGUGCCACCUCAGCCACAGUAAAAUAUGGCAUGAAGUAGGUUUCUCAAGUUCCUAGUGCCAGGCCAUAGCUCCAGCAUGGCAUUCCUAGACCUACCCUGGGCCAGACGGGAACACAUUGCCCUAAAGGGAAAGACCCAGGCUCGGCAGGAUGCUCUCUCCCACCACUUGCUGACUAAAGAACCCUUGGCCUUUGGAUAUACAUCACUGGUACCCAGGCAAUAGUCACCGGAGACUUCGGGUGAGGCCUAGUGCUGUGCUGGCUUCAAGUGGGACCCAGCACAGUCCCAGUGGCGUUGACAAUGAACUUGCUUGCUUCACCCCUUCCUCCAAUUCCAGGCAGCUCCAGGAUGGAGUGAGAGAUGACCUUUGUUUGGGAGAAAGCAAGGGAAGAGAACAAGAGAUUCUGCCCGAUAAUCCGGUGAAUUAUCUCAGAUCUUAACUAAGACCAUCAAGGUAGUACCUCUAUGAGUCAACAAGAGUGGAGCCCCUUAAUAUAGAUACCACCGCAAUGACUGAAGACUUAGAUCACAACACCAAGUCUUCAAAUACUUAGGAAACCUUCCCAAGGACCAAUAUAAACAAGCCUGAGCUGUGAAGGCUAUAAUAAAUACCUAAUUAUUCAAUGCCCAGACACUGGCAAACAUCCACAAGCAUCACUACCUUCCAGAAAAUCAUGACCUCACUAAACAAAGUAAAUAAAUCACCAGUAACCAAUCCUGGAGUGACAGAGAUAGGUGAACUUUCUGACAAAAAAAAAAAAAAAAAGAAA